GCAAAACGCGAAGAACCUUACCUAGGCUUGAACUCCUACGAACCUGUUGUAAUGGACGGGGUGCCCGCAAGGGAAUGUAGUGAGAGGUGCUGCAUGGCUGUCGUCAGCUCGUGUUGUGAAAUGUUGGGUUAAGUCUCGCAACGAGCGCAACCCCUAUCGUCUGUUGCCAGCAUUUAGUUGGGCACUCUGACGAGACUGCCUGGGUUAACCAGGAGGAAGGUGGGGAUGACGUCAAGUCCUCAUGGCCCUUAUGUCUAGGGCUACACACGUAAUACAAUGGCGCGUACAAUGGGAAGCGAACUAGUGAUAGGGAGCAAAUCUCAAAAAGCGCGCCUCAGUUCGGAUUGGAGUCUGCAACUCGACUCCAUGAAGUUGGAAUCGCUAGUAAUCGGAGAUCAGCACGCUCCGGUGAAUACGUUCCCGGGUCUUGUACACACCG
rnacentral:rRNA from 1 species